GAUCAGCGUGAGUACUCGAGGACGGCUUGAGGCCUAAUCCUCCUUUUCAUGUUUUUGCUUUCGGAGUCUUAGUGGCAGUGUUAUGAUGAGGUGUUGGGGAUUUAUUUUAUUUUAUCUGUUAGAUUAAUGUUUAAGGAACCAUAAAUUUCUCAUGUUGAUGUAUUUGAGAUGAUAACCUUAUGUUGUUUUAUGUUUUGAUUCUGUUGCGACUGUUUUAUGAUUAUGUUAAUUUAUG
rnacentral:lncRNA from 1 species